GUUCCAUUAGCUCAGUUGGGAGAGCACUCGACUUUUAAUCGAGGAGUCAUGGGUUCAAGUCCCAUAUGGAGCA
rnacentral:tRNA from 1 species